AGGAAUUGGCUGAACUUGUGCACAAAGUUCAUUUGCUUUGUUUACUUGCUCGGGGAAGAUUAAUAGACCGUGCUUGUGAUGAUGUUUUAAUUCAGGCUUCUCUGCUUUCUCUACUUCCAGCGGACUUGCUCCACCUAUCAAAAGACACAAAACUCACUUCAAAAGCUCUACAUCCUUUAAUCUCAUGGUUCCAUGACAAUUUUCAUGUUAAAAACUAUACAAAUGGAGAAAAGUCACCACACUUUGCUUUGGCAUCUGCUUUAGAAUUACGUGAAGGUAAUUCUGAAGAGGUAGAUCUCUUUUAAUAGAAGCUUUGUUGUUUUUGUAUUUACUGCAUGAUAUAUACUUUGCUGGAGUCCUAGUUUUUCUUUUAGUAAGGUUUUGAUAGGUUUGAUAGAUGAGGAAGUUAGAAUAACUUAGUUGGUAGUUGGGGGCCCACAGAUAAAAUAGUUAUAUACUUAGAGCUGUUGGGCUGGGAUGAUUAGAGAAAUAAGUCAUGUUGCUCAUAAAUAACAAAAGGGAUGAGAGUUAGAGGUAUCUUGUCAUUUGAAAUACUUGGUGCAUUUGAGCAUAGGAGAUGCAGACCCCCGAAUUUUUGUAAUCUAUACUGUAUUGAAAGGAAUUCUUCCCUAAUUCUUCUAAAUUAUAAUUGAGA